CGCCCCCUUCCCCAAGCGCGCGCUCGGGGGGCCGCGCGUGCAGCGGAGCCAGGCCGGCCGAGUUGAGGAGCGGAGCGCUGCGGGAUGAGCCGGUGAUUUUGUGUGAGGUGAAGCAACAGUGUCUUUUUCAUGCCAUGAAACUCUUGAAACAGCCGUGUCGGCCAGAGAUGGAGCACUGACUGAAUCGUGUGAAGGCCCGCCAGAGAGCUUCCCGACGUGAACCUACGCUCAGGAGUCAGGAAAGGAUUGCAGAGACAGCUCUAUUCCCCUUGACAGAUCUGUCUGCAGCCACCGACGCAAUCGUUCAUGUACUGAAGACUGAUACCCCACCUCCCCUUCUACCUCAUUUUAUGAAUUUCUG